rnacentral:rRNA from 1 species
UACGUAGGGUGCGAGCGUUGUCCGGAAUUAUUGGGCGUAAAGAGCUCGUAGGCGGUUUGUUGCGUCGGCUGUGAAAUCCCGAGGCUCAACCUCGGGUCUGCAGUCGAUACGAGCAAACUAGAGUGUUGCAGGGGAGACUGGAAUUCCUGGUGUAGCGGUGAAAUGCGCAGAUAUCAGGAGGAACACCGGUGGCGAAGGCGGCGUCCUGGACCAACACUGACACUGAUGAGCGAAAGCCAGGGGAGCAAACGGG